UCCCUCUUAGCUCAGUGGUAGAGCGCGUCACUAGUAUUGUGGUACAUGGAGUUCGUUUCCUAUGACGAGGUCAGUCGUUCAAGUCGGCUAGAGGGAA